GUGGGGAAUAUUGGACAAUGGGCGAAAGCCUGAUCCAGCAAUGCCGCGUGAGUGAUGAAGGCCUUAGGGUUGUAAAGCUCUUUUACCAGGGAUGAUAAUGACAGUACCUGGAGAAUAAGCUCCGGCUAACUCCGUGCCAGCAGCCGCGGUAAUACGGAGGGAGCUAGCGUUGUUCGGAAUUACUGGGCGUAAAGCGCACGUAGGCGGUUACUCAAGUCGGAGGUGAAAGCCCGGGGCUCAACCCCGGAACUGCCUUUGAAACUAGGUAACUGGAAUCUUGGAGAGGUCAGUGGAAUUCCGAGUGUAGAGGUGAAAUUCGUAGAUAUUCGGAAGAAAACCAGUGGCGAAGGCGACUGACUGGACAAGUAUUGACGCUGAGGUGCGAAAGCGUGGGGAGCAAACAGGAUUAGAAACCCCAGUAGUCC
rnacentral:rRNA from 1 species